rnacentral:lncRNA from 1 species
UCUCUAUAUGCAGAGCAACUGAUUAAAAUCAAAAGAACUUCCACUAAACUAGAACUUUUUCGAAAUUUUAAAUCUAAUUUAAUCUAAUCUACAUAACAUCUUUGGAAUCAAACCCUACUUUUAAAGUCAUAUCUAAACUCUAUUUUUAUUCUUAUCUUUAUCUCUAUCUCUAUCUUCUUCAGUUUUAUUAUAACUUUAAAGUACUUCCUUAUCUCCCUUGUGCUUAAAUUAUUUCCUUAUCUCACAAAUUCAUGCGUCUAUUUUAUUUGAGAUUUUCCCAAAUGAAAACUAGAUCAAAUUUGGAAAACAUGAAAUUUCUUAUGUUCGUAAUCAUUACUGAGAAACAAAAGGCUGGAGUAGAGAAACUUCUUUAGACUUUAGUCUGUGUGUAGCAAAACUGGAAAUUGUGCUGAACUCAAUGACCAAUGAAUAUGAUGAAGUAAUGCUGGAACAAAAUUUUUUGUAUUUGCAAAUGCUGAUUAAGUUAUUGGAAACGUGCACUGCGUUACACUUAAAGAGACGUUGUGUCAGGACAUGCUGAGAAAUGAGUGUACGGUCUGUUGUGCUAGAACUUGAAAUGUGACAUUUACUUUGUCCAUGUAUUAAAUAACACUUGCUGAUUUACAAGUCAAAUUUUAGAACUUAAAAAGAAUGCAUUAUUAGAUUUUUUAUUUUUACUUAUUUACUUAUUUUUUUGCUAAGCCAAGUCAUCCUGGAACCAAGAUUAAAAUCCCUUUAACCAACAAAUAAUGGAUGAAUGAAAGUAUUGAAGGCAAACAAUCUUUACGAGCUAUUGCCAUGGCAAGCUUAUAAUCUCUAUAAUUUUUCUUGUGCAUCAGCUUGGUUUGCAUGCUAUAUAUACAGGACCUCCUACUACCAUAUAAAUUAACAAGUCUGUUCUUCAUGCUUUGAGCUCCUUCCUCGUUUCUUCAUAUAAUAUGAGAUCUAUGGUGCCUGGUUACUUUUAUCAAGCGAUUAAGAUAGUUGCUUCUUCAACAAGCUUUGCAAUGACUCAAACACCCUUUGCGCAUUUGACUUAAAACAGUAAUAGUCUUUAUUAGAGACUAUUG